rnacentral:misc_RNA from 1 species
GAUGAAGAACGCAGCGAAAUGCGAUAAGUAAUGUGAAUUUCAGAAUUCAGUGAAUCAUCGAAUCUUUGAACGCACCUUGCGCCCUUUGGCCAUUCCGAAGGGCAUGCCUGUUUGAGUAUCAUGAUCACCUCAACUCUUCAUGGUUUUCCAUGAUGAGCUUGGACUUUGGGGGUCUUGCUGGCCUGUGGGUCGGCUCCUCUCAAAUGAAUCAGCUUGCCGGUUUUUGGUGGGCAUCACAGGUGUGAUAACUAUCUACGCUUGUGGUUUUCCACCAGGGUAACCUUCAGCAGUGGAGGUUCACUGGAGCUUACAAAUGUCUCUCCUCUGUGAGGACAGCCCUUUGAAUGUUUGAUCUCAAAUCAGGUAGGACUACCCGCUGAACUUAAGCAUAUCAAUAAGCGGAGGA